CUUGUAAUGCGUAGUAGCGUAGUAGUUUAGGCAAUCAGAUAUUUUAUGAUGAUUGAAUGUGGAAAAGUUGAAUAUUAUACUUUGCAAUGUUCAUAUGCACAUGCAUAUGAACGCAUGCAUUCAUAUGUGUGAUUCCCUGAUGUCCAACUCAGGUUCGGGAAGCUGGACUCGUCAUAAUGCCUCGUGUCAAUCGAGUAGCCUGCUGAAGUUCUAAAGUUUUCAUUCGCCCUUCGACGCCAAGUAGAGAGACUCAUAGAGAGAUUAUCGAACAGCGACGAUGGACAGGAAGACAUUGUUUUCUUUGUGGGCUCAACUGACCCCUGCUUCCAUCAUGAUGGAGGACAGGGAGUCAUACACCGAGGAGACCAGGCUCGUCCCCGCCCCCCCUACUGAGGCCAAGCCCCCGGGCCUUAACCCCCGCUACCCUCGUGGGGCUAGGCUGCCCUGGUUGGCUGCCCCAGCUGGUGGCAGCAACGAGAGGGUCGUCCUCCGCCCCCCUACUGAGGCCAAGCCCCCGGGCCUUAACCCCCGCUACCCUCGUGGGGCUAGGCUGCCCCGGUUGGCUGUGGCUGAGGAGGCUGACGACCAGGAAGCCUGGAUCCAGGCGGCCCACUCCGACACCGUGUCCCUCUGUGCACGGGCUCAGGGUGCCGCCUCGAGCCAGGAGACUUCCCCGGGCCGAACCCCCCCAGAAGUGGCUGACCCUGACCACCAUCGUGGGGCUAGGCUGCCCCGGUUGGCUGUCCCAGCCGCUGGCGCCAACGACAGGAUCGUCCUCUGCCCUACUGAGGCCAAGCCCCCACAUAGACCCCCAGUGUCCUUCACAGUGGAUCUGCGGGACGCCCCGUUGAGCUCCGCCUCCUCGUCCCGGAACGCCGCUGCCUCCGCCCGCCGCCGGGCGCACGGUGGCGCCGAGGCGGACCUCUCUGGGACGGAGCGCUCCCAGUCCGCCAACGGCCAGAGGUCCCAGGCCCCAGGCAGGAUCGUCCUCCGCCCCCCUACUGAGGCCAAGCCCCCGGGCCUUAACCCCCGCUACCCUCGUGGGUCUAGGCUGCCCCGGUUGGCUGUGGCUGAGGAGGCUGACGGCCAGGAAGCCUGGAUCCAGGCGGCCCACUCCGACACCGUGUCCCUCUGUGCACGGGCUCUGGGUGCCGCCUCGAGCCAGGAGACUUCCCCGGGCCAAACCCCCACAGAAGUGGCUGACCCUGACCACCCUCGUGGGGCUAGGCUGCCCCGGUUGGCUGCCCCAGCCGCUGGCGCCAACGACAGGAUCGUCCUCCGCCCUACUGAGGCCAAGCCCCCCACAUAGACCCCCAGUGUCCUUCACAGUGGAUCUGCGGGACGCCCCGCUGAGCUCCGCCCCCUCGUCCCGGAAUGCCGCUGCCUCCGCCCGCCGCCGGGUGCCCAGAGAGGUCCGCCUCCGUCCCGAGGCGGACCUCUCUGGGACGGAGCGCUCCCAGUUCGCCAACGGCCAGAGGUCCCAGGCCCCAGGCAGCCCGCCGGCCUCUGACGUUCCUGAAGGCGUGGCGGGCAGAGGUAAGUACGCGUUGAGCCCGUUUCCCCCUGUGCAGGAGCGUCUGAGGAACGGCAGGAUCCCCCGGGAGAAGCUCCGGGGCCCGCCCCCCCACCAGGCAGGGGAAGAGGCCGGGCCCUCUGGGAAGAGGCAGAAGAACGGGGGCCGCUGUUUCCCCGACCAGAGGUUGACCGCUGAGCCCGAGCUGGAGGAGAAGCUGUUGGAUAGCAGAGAUGAGCCGGCCCAGGGCUCCCUCAGCGGCCCCCAG
ensembl:lncRNA